rnacentral:rRNA from 1 species
GAUGAACGCUGGCGGCGUGCUUAACACAUGCAAGUCGAACGAAGCACUUCGGAUUCUUCGGUUGAAGAAGUGACUGAGUGGCGGACGGGUGAGUAACGCGUGGGUAACCUGCCCCAUACAGGGGGAUAACAGCUGGAAACGGCUGCUAAUACCGCAUAAGCGCACAGUGCUGCAUGGCACGGUGUGAAAAACUGAGGUGGUAUGGGAUGGGCCCGCGUCUGAUUAGGUAGUUGGUGCGGUAACGGCGCACCAAGCCCGCGAUCAGUAGCCGACCUGAGAGGGUGACCGGCCACAUUGGGACUGAGACACGGCCCAAACUCCUACGGGAGGCAGCAGUGGGGAAUAUUGCACAAUGGGGGAAACCCUGAUGCAGCGACGCCGCGUGAAGGAAGAAGUAUUUCGGUAUGUAAACUUCUAUCAGCAGGGAAGAAAAUGACGGUACCUGACUAAGAAGCCCCGGCUAACUACGUGCCAGCCGCCGCAGUAACAC